GACGUUAGCAACAGAAGAAGCACCGGCUAACUCCGUGCCAGCAGCCGCGGUAAUACGGAGGGUGCGAGCGUUAAUCGGAAUUACUGGGCGUAAAAGCGCAUGCAGGUGGUUUGUUAAGUCAGAUGUGAAAAGCCCGGGCUCAAACCUCGGAAACUGCAUUUUGAAAAACUGGCAGACUAGAGUACUGUAGAGGGGGUAGAAUUUCAGGUGUAGCGGUGAAAAUGCGUAGAGAUCUGAAGGAAUACCGGUGGCGAAGGCGGCCCCCUGGACAGAUACUGACACUCAGAUUCGCGAAAGCGUGGGGAGCAAACAGGAUUAGAUACCCUCGGUAG
rnacentral:rRNA from 1 species